UAAGUACUAAAUAGANNNCCCAACANUAGUUGAUUACANUGAACAAGUUACUGUAGGGAUAACAGCGUAAUAUAUAUCUAAAGUUCUUAUUUUGAUAUAAGUUUGCGACCUCGAUGUUGAAUUNAUAUUACUUUCAAGCGCAAGAGCUUGAAAAGUGGGUCUGUUCGACCCCUAAAUAUAUACAUGAUUUGAGUUCAAAUCGGUGUAAACCAGAUUGGUUUCUAUCUAUUNUUAUUUGUGUCUUAGUACGAAAGGACCUGAAACAAUAUUAUAUAAUNAUUUAUAUGGCAGAAAAAUGCUUUAGAUUUAGGAUCUAAUUAUGAUAGAUUAUUAUACUCUAUUUAACUUGCCUAAUCUCUGUUAUUAGAAUCCUUAUCGCAGUAGCUUUUUAUACCCUCCUAGAGCGAAAAAUUCUAAGCUACAUCCAAAUUCGAAAG
rnacentral:rRNA from 1 species